rnacentral:rRNA from 1 species
GACGAACGCUGGCGGCGUGCCUAAUACAUGCAAGUCGAACGCUUUGAUUUUCACCGGAGCUUGCUCCACCGAAAAUCAAAGAGUGGCGGACGGGUGAGUAACACGUGGGCAACCUGCCCAACAGAGGGGGAUAACACUUGGAAACAGGUGCUAAUACCGCAUAAUUUGUUUUUCCGCAUGGAAGAAUAAUAAAAGACGCUUCGGUGUCACUGUUGGAUGGGCCCGCGCUGCAUUAGUUAGUUGGUGGGGUAACGGCCUACCAAGACCAUGAUGCAUAGCCGACCUGAGAGGGUGAUCGGCCACACUGGGACUGAGACACGGCCCAGACUCCUACGGGAGGCAGCAGUAGGGAAUCUUCGGCAAUGGACGAAAGUCUGACCGAGCAACGCCGCGUGAGUGAAGAAGGUUUUCGGAUCGUAAAACUCUGUUGUUAGAGAAGAACAAGUGAGAGAGUUACUGUUCUCACCUUGACGGUAUCUAACCAGAAAGCCACGGCUAACUACGUGCCAGCAGCCGCGGUAAUACGUAGGUGGCAAGCGUUGUCCGGAUUUAUUGGGCGUAAAGCGAGCGCAGGCGGUUUCUUAAGUCUGAUGUGAAAGCCCUCGGCUCAACCGAGGAAGGUCAUUGGAAACUGGGGAACUUGAGUGCAGAAGAGGAGAGUGGAAUUCCAUGUGUAGCGGUGAAAUGCGUAGAUAUAUGGAGGAACACCAGUGGCGAAGGCGACUCUCUGGUCUGUAACUGACGCUGAGGCUCGAAAGCGUGGGGAGCAACAGG